ensembl:lncRNA
CACCAGUGGCCAUCAUCCUUAAAUGCAUUCUCAUUUGACCCUAUGAUCAGACUCACUCUCACAAUGUCAUUUGAGAAGAUAAGACUGCUAAAAAUCAAAGUUAAGCAAAGGUUGUGUUGUGUGUAGCUAGCUAGCUAGAGAUACUUUCACAAUUUUCCCUAAGAUUUUACUUAUUUAUUUGACAGAGAGUGUGUUUGGGCAAGCACAGAAGCAAGCAGAGGAAGAGGGAGAAGCAGGCUCCCCAAUGAGCAAGGAGCCUAAUGCAGCGUUCAAUUCAAGAAUCCCAGGAUAAUGACCAGAGCUGAAGGCAGAUGCUCCACUGACUGAACCUCCCCAGGUUCAGUUAAUAGCACCUUUCACUGUUUUCAGUAAACGGAUAAAGAAGUUUAGGUCCUUGCCCUAAGGUCACAUCCAGCUCAGUGAUGGAGUCACCAACCCAGGACCAACUUUGAAUCCCCCCGCCUCUGCUCCCUCUUCUUGCAUAGAAAUAAGUAGUAGCACACAUUUAUGGAAUUAUGGAAACCAUGUUGAUUGUGUCAGUCAUGAGAGAGCACAGCUUAGAUCUCCCUUUAAGAGGGAAUAUGCUGCGAGUGUGUGAUGGGCUGAGGGCCUCAGCCAUGGCACCUUUGGAAUCCCUGUAGGGUUCCCACUGACCCCUUGCUCUCCCCGAGGACAGCAGGAGAACAAAAGCCCAGCCAGGUCUGCCCAGUGAUGACUCCUCAACUCUUGGGUUUCCCAGCAGCCUGGCCAUAGCUGUGCUCAGAGCUGUGCUCUCCUCUGCAGUUCUUACCCAACCCUCUUUCCUGUCCCGUCUCCUAUGGCAAGUGGCAGGCCUGAAGGGUCUCUUCACCUUCCCCUGUUCCUUCACCCUUCUUACCUCACAGAUGUUCUCACCAGUACAUUUUUUUUGCAUACAUAAUUCCAUCUUGACAUCUGUUACUCAAAGGACCUGAAGUGACACACUUGUUGAUACCUGCCUUGACUCACUACAUGGACUAUGCCACAGCCUCCAACUCCCAUCCCAAGAACCUAGUAUGCUGCAAAGGGAGAAGCCUGGCUCCCACUCUGGCUCAGCCACUUGGAGUCAUCGUCCUUGAGAAAGUUUCUCAGCCUCCUGAGGCUUGUGUUCUGGAGCCUAAAUAGAAAUUGUCAUCAGUGCUAUUGAAGGGACGAAAUUAGAGUGUGUGUGGAAAAGACUUUAUAAAUCAGAAUGUUACAGAAAUGGUUAUUUUUCUGCCUGAGAGAGGUAUUUACAAUGUGUUUUUCCUCCUUAUAAAAGGAAUAUGAAUUCUUUGUGGACAUUUUGAAAAUUACAUUUGAGUAAAAAAAAAAAAAAGGAAUCAGAAUCACUCAGAGUUAACUACUAUGCACAUUCAGUAUUUGCUCCCAUCUUUCUCCCCAUCUGUAUAGAGAUAUGCCUUUGUUGAAGCAAGGAUGUGGAUACUUAAGACCCCGGGGGUGGUACUCCUCCCCUCACUAGCCUGCAGAGCUACUACAGCAUUUCCCUCCACCCUUGCUGCAGCAAAGGGCACAGACUUCAUCUCUCACUAGAAGCAAGGCUGAGGGGCCUUCUGGGUCCCCAAGUAAGCAGACCUUAGAAAUGGAACCUGUUCUUUCUGAUAGAGACCUUCAAACUUUGUACUCUGCAAACCAUUUUGGAAAGAUCAUAUCCUUUUAUGGAUCACUUGCCUGCGUAUCCUCAUUUACAAAUAGAUUUUUGAGAUUUAAAAGGCAUAGACUCCUGUAGCUGUGUUGUUAAAAUGCUCCUACUCUCAGGGGCGCCUGGGUGGCUUAGUCAGUUAAGCAUCUGCCUUCAGCUCAGGUCAUGAUUUCAGGGUCCUGGGAUAGAGCCCUGUGUUGGGAUGCCUGCUUGGCAAGGAGUUUGCUUCUCCAUCUCCCUCUACCACUCUCCCCAAUUCAUGCCUGCGCUCUCUCUCUCUCUCUCAAAUAAA